UACGUAGGGGGCAAGCGUUGUCCGGAUUUACUGGGCGUAAAGAGCGCGUAGGCGGAAGCUUAAGUGUGGCCUGAAAGCCCCCGGCUCAACCGGGGAAGGUGGCUGCAAACUGGGCUUCUUGAGGGGGAUAGGGGAAAGUGGAAUUCCGGGUGUAGCGGUGGAAUGCGUAGAGAUCCGGAAGAACACCGGUGGCGAAGGCGGUCUGCUGGGCAGUAGCUGACGCUGAGGCGCGACAGCGUGGGGAGCAAACAGG
rnacentral:rRNA from 1 species